AAUUGUUUAUUUACUUGGCUGACUCCCUAAUUAAACACUAAAAACUUGGAGAAAGGGAACAGGAUUUAUGUUUCCAGUGCUUGGCACAAGACCUAUUAAUUAGAUACUCAGUCCUUAUGUGAAUGAAUAAGGAUGUAAGCAGGAGAACAGCCCAAGGAAGGGAAUCUGCUUGAGAAAAGGCACAAAGCCAGGCCGUAGACAGGUUGGUAAGUGCUUCAAAUGCCAGUGGAAGGAGUUUGUAAUUUGCCCUGUAGAUAUUACAGAUUCCAGGAAUAUUUUUAAGCCAGAGAAUAAUGUGAUCAAGACCAUGGUUUAUGGCAAGUAGGAUGGUGUUGUGGGAAGUUUAUGAGCUUUCCAGCUUACAGAGCUGGAUUCACAUCCCAGCAUUACCACCAAUUGAUGAUGACUCUAGAUUAGUCUGCUGACUUCAUAGAGGCUCAGUUUUGUCAUCUUUACACCCAGUCUGGAAAGGCUCGAGCAUAGACUGACAUUGGCUGCAGAUUAAAUAAGAUAAAUAAAAGAAAAUAAUGUUUGUUGUGUACUAAUUACUUAGUAAAUAAUAAUUGUAAUAAAUAGACCUGAGAAAGAGAUAGUCUGGCAAGAACAGUGUAGUAAAUGGUCCUUUGUCAUUACAAAAAAAAAAAAAAAAAAUUAAAGAAGCUAUAUUUAGGCCACUAAUUCUUAAAAUGUUUAUUUAAAGUGUAAAUAUUAUCAUAGCUAGUGUGAUUUAAGAACUAACUCGUGCCAGGCACUGCGCUAAUGCUUUAUUCGUAUUAUCUCAUUUAAUCCUCUUUUGGAAAAGAGUCCACAUCUGCCCAUGCUCUUAACAAAUACGUUAUGUGGUAUUACAAUAACAUCUCAUCAAGUUAAAUCAGGAAGUAGAGAAGUCUGAUAAAAUUCUAAUCUGUGUUUCUAAUACAUGGUUUUUAACUUUAGGAUUUGCUGGAAAGCCUGGUGAGAAAGGAAACAGAGGCAUUCCGGGGUUACCAGGUUUCAAAGGACACGAAGGGCCACCUGGACCACCGGGUCCACCAGGCCUCAGGGGAGAUCCGGGCAGCAUUGGGAAUCCUGGAGAGCCAGGACCACGUGGUGGACCAGGAAGCAUGGGGAACAUGGGGGUGCCAGGUAAGGUGUAAGAUCCUAUUACGAGCUUAAAGCUC
rnacentral:lncRNA from 1 species